AACCUGAAGGCAUCCUGAAACCUCAGGAGGAGCAGGCAGCCGAGCUGUCCAGGUCUGCAGUGGAACUGGGGAACCAGAUGUUGACACACAUAGGGAACACUUGCUGCAGUUGGAAGGUUAUCAUCUUCUCCCUCCGUCGCAGAAUCAGGGACCUGCUGUCUCGGGAUGGCCCUGGGAGUCGUGAGGGGCAGAGCCACCGAGACCAUGCUGAGGGGCACAAGCUGGCCGAGCCCCUCGCCCUCCAGCCCUGCCCAGAACCGGGCUCCUGGAGAACAGCAGCCUCGCCCAGCAUCCUCACAGGAAGGAGAGGUGGCAGCGGGAGGCAUGUGCGAUUCCUCACAGCCUCGGCUGAGGCUCGCGCCCAGGGGACCUGUCCCCAAGGGCUUCCCAGCCCAACCUUCGAGGUGCCCGAGGACCACUGUGUGGGAACACAGCCGGGUCAGUACCUUGACCGUGGAGCCGGCAGAGCCACCCUGAGCCUUUCUUCUGCCCCCUGGAGAUUCAUAGGCCACACUGAUGCCGGACAGCAGUGGCUCCACUCGACAGAGCUGAAUUUGGAUGCUUCCCUUGGAUUGGAGAACCCUCCCAAGGCAGAGGGUGAUGCUCUCGGAGGCUCAGGAGAUACCACCCGUGAGAUUCGGGCCCAUGGCCGUCCUGAUGCAACCGCUGUCCCGAGACAGAGGAUGGAAAGGAAACCCCGGUUCCGCCAGUGGAAAAUGGCCUGCAGAUUCCCAGGCGCUCAGGCUUAGGCCGCAGAGGUCCCACAUACUGCUGGAGCCAGGGAAGGUACUGCUGACUUAAGAAGAUCAAUCAGCAAGAGGACUCUGCACUUUAUAGUGACGUCUACAACAAUGUACCAGCCGCGUUGCCACACAGAAGCGAUGCUUUGUGAGAGCUGGAUUCUCAACCAGGGACUGCACUUGAGUUUUAUUCCAAAGGCCAGAUUUUGCUUCUCAGUAGUAUAUUUCAAAAUCUCCAAUUUCAGGUGUGACAGAUACUCCAGAUGUCUUUGACCUAGAUCCAGUUUUUCUCUUUGAAUUUCAAUUUUAAUAGUAAUUUGUUAGCAUGAAUGUUUAGAAUGAUAGUG
rnacentral:lncRNA from 1 species